GGUGAGUAACGCGUGGGAAUAUGCCCUUUGGUACGGAACAGUCCCGGGAAACUGGGUUUAAUACCGUAUGUGGUCCUUCGUAGUGGAUACGGGGGACGAAAGAUUUAUCGCCAAAGGAUUAGCCCGCGUUGGAUUAGGUAGUUGGUGGGGUAACGGCCUACCAAGCCGACGAUCCAUAGCUGGUUUGAGAGGAUGAUCAGCCACACUGGGACUGAGACACGGCCCAGACUCCUACGGGAGGCAGCAGUGGGGAAUCUUAGACAAUGGGGGCAACCCUGAUCUAGCCAUGCCGCGUGAGUGAUGAAGGCCUUAGGGUUGUAAAGCUCUUUCAGCUGGGAAGAUAAUGACGGUACCAGCAGAAGAAGCCCCGGCUAACUCCGUGCCAGCAGCCGCGGUAAUACGGAGGGGGCUAGCGUUGUUCGGAAUUACUGGGCGUAAAGCGCAUGUAGGCGGACCAGAAAGUUGGGGGUGAAAUCCCGGGGCUCAACCCCGGAACGGCCUUCAAAACUAUUGGUCUGGAGUUCGAGAGAGGUGAGUGGAAUUCCGAGUGUAGAGGUGAAAUUCGUAGAUAUUCGGAGGAACACCAGUGGCGAAGGCGGC
rnacentral:rRNA from 1 species